rnacentral:lncRNA from 1 species
GGGGAGUAAAAUCCUGGAUGGCCAAAAGCAAAGAAGCAACUCGUGGCUUUGGUGAUGUUGUAGCCCGGAAUACCGACCAAUCCGCAAGCUCCUGUUUAUUCAGUCUCGCACGAUGGGGUCUGGCCGUCGCCCCAUUCAGACUGAUUUAUCAUCCAGCUUUUUAUUGAAAAGCGUUUGAUAUGAGAUAUGAUAUUGCUGACACUGACGUGGACAUCAGGUGUGUCGAAUCUGCUGUCGAGACCAAAGAUAUGUACUUUACUCUCAUAGAGGAGCAAAAGAAACCAGAAAAUAUUCACAUUUAAGAAGCUAAAAUCAGAGAAUUUGGAUUUUCCCCCAAUCAAAACCAAUUCAUUAAAUAUAGUUGGCGAUUAAUUUAGUCGUUGAUGAUUUAUUGAUUAAUCGAUUAACUGUAGCAGCUCUAAUUCCAGACCUUGAGCACCUCAGCUGAGAAACUCCGUCGAGCGGGUUUUUUUCUCCUGGAUAUUGCGGAUAAUCCUGUUUUCACGACAUAAGCAGCUGUGGGGCUUUUAUGGAAAAAUGUCCCCACUUUUCCGACCUUCCCCCAGGAGGCAGGAUACCUGGUUGAGUGAGACUGCCUUCCUGACUGAGAGCACCACUCAAAGAAUCCAGACUGUGGCUCCAAUCCAGUUGCCCUCUUUAAUAGAUUCACAGUGUUAUAUUAGAAGUAAGAAGAUUGAGGCUGCGGUCACAGCGGUAUUUCAACUUGAAUGGCACUCAGUAAAGCACAUAUGCCUCUGCCAAGGCCCAACAGUCCCUCAAUCAAGUCGCACCAAAUUGCACACACUCAUAAAAAUCAGUCUCUUGAAUAUUGCCAGAUUUUGUUUCCCCCAUCAAGAUCCCUGGGAAAUUGGUGAAAAUGUACAAUAAAAAUCAGCACAAAAAUGUAAUGUUUUUAUUUCUUGGCCCAUGUCCCAUCAAGUUUCGUGGAAAUCUUUUCAGUUGUUUUUGCAUCGAACAAACGGGAAAACAAGGGCGGCAACCUCCUCAGUUGACGUGAUAACAAGAAAUUUCUGCCUGACAUAAUCACUUAAUUUGGACGGAAUAGUGGCAAUCGGUUGAUUUGUUCCAUCGGUCAUUACAAUCCUUCUUGAAAGUGCUGAAAAAGAAGAAAGAAAAAAAUAAAUAAAGGAAGGAAGGAAGCCAUCGUACCAGCACUAAAACAUCUUUUUUUUUAGGAGAUCGUGUGUUUUAUAAUCCACCCACCUUCGUAUUCUUGCUCUGGUUUAAUGUUGUAUGUAAUGUUGCACUAUUCUUUUCUUCCUGGUCCAUGAGAAACAACAUUUCAUGCAGCCGUUCACUUUGUGUGAGGAUGAAUGACAGUGAAGUUAACUUGACUUUAGUUGAAGGGUUUGAGUUUGAAAAUAGAGUAGAACCCCCGUAAAUAGUCAGCGUGUCACCGACAAGCAGCACCACGAGGAUGGACUAAUGAACUUUCUGGUUUGCUAUACUUAAGAGCGCUGGCAUCAUAAUUUAAACACAUUCACGACAAAGCAAUCGAUCAGAGAUGCACCAAAAAGAAACGAAACAAAAUUGAUAACAAAAUCAAAAGAUUAAAAGACGAAUUUGCUACUGGCCCCAGAUGAAUAGCGCUCACAAACUUUGUUCCACGACCGCUGUAGUAAA